GUGAUUGGAGCCACCUGGGCUCAGGGUAUUUAACCAACUGCUCCACUAACCUCUCGCUGGUCUGGCUCCUCGUUGAGCUUCUGGCUCGCUGGGCUUGCUCUCGCUUUCGCCCUGCUCCUCCAGCACUCAAACCCGCCAGAGCCAGAAACCAUGACAUUGAAGAUGACACCCAAGUACCUCUUUUGACACGCUUAUCACGUCCCAUGACAGACUUUGCUUGCGUUCCAGGCCAUCAACAUAACAUAGAUGUUGAAUUACAUCAACCAAUGGACUUGUGUGCCACAUCAUCGACUGCACAGUCAGGCGCCAGACUACUAAAUCAUAUGUUAGCUGAUAUGUUAAAUACCUAUCCAAAUGUUGUAUAUCUGUCUGGUGUCUCAGCCAGGAACGUGACCUGCCUGACCAAUCCUAACUACUCCAACAAACAUGUAGGACUUCCACCCUCAAUUCUUAAUUUAGAGAUGGGCCUGAUCCAGGACCAACCCCUAGUCCAGCUAUUAAAUCUGCCCAUUGCCCUCAAGUACUUGGAUGCAGGUUUUCUGCUUAUACAAGUUUUCUACCUGAGUGUAAAGAUUCACUGAUUGGCCAGUCCACCCACCUGCUAUCCAAUUUUCCUGAUUAAGAGAGAACGAGAGCCAGCAGUACUUUGGUCCUCAAUGGCCUCAGUGUCUGGCAUCAUUUGUGAUGGUGAUACUGAUGACCCUCUCCUAGACCCUGAAGGAAUACCAGACACACCAUCUGAUGAUGUGCCUGACCCCUCAGCCCCAGGCCUACCAGAAGGGUGUCCUCUUUGGCGAGCGCUUCAGUUGCACCGUAUGUUUUGACGUAGUCCUGAAACAACAAGCGAUCAACACAUCAAUUCUUGGACUCAAACAGCAGCUGGAGGAUAGGGCCUGAGGCUUUAGGACCAUGACUGAGGACACCCUGGCCUGACACCUGGAUAUGCCUGGCCCAAUCCCAACUGGACCCCGCUACCUCCUACAUUCCUGUUGCUGCCUCCACUGGUUAUUUUUCCCCCUCAAGUCACUCACUCCCCACACACCCAGAAACUUGAAUUCCAUUACUUACCACAACGUCUUUAUGAAAAGCCAUCUGACCAUAGGGCUUUGAAGUGUUAGUACUUUCUCUAUAGUCAUUAUGGAUAUUGUCUGAACCUGCUGGCCAUGAAUACUGGUAUAGCGCUUUCCUUAUUGAAAUGAUGAAUAAAGGAAGACUAUGCUUUCAUUUGCAAUUAAGACAAUGAUGCCCAAGCAUUAGGAAAUCAUUGGAGAAAGAAUUCACACUUCCAGUUUGCACUAAUCUUUAUUUGACUUGCUGUAAUACAGAGAUACAGA
rnacentral:lncRNA from 1 species